GGAUUCCAUAGGCUGAAAUUUACCUAUGGCAAAUGUUUCACAGUACAGUAAAUUAUGCAGCAGGUUCCACACAAACAUCCUUUACUCUCUGAAAUGAAGGUGGGCACUCAGUAGCAAAAGUACAUUGAUGUAGCUAUCGAUAGUAAUGCCUCUAUUUCUAUUUUAUAGGUACUUAGCGCUUCUGAAAUGCAAGCUCAAGGCAGGUGGUGUUGAACAUCUAAGUUUGGAGAAGUCUUUCUGGAGACCUGAUGGAAAUUAUUUGCUCGAUAUUAGUCAUAAGGUUCCCAGGAGAGGAGGUGGCGUGAACCCCUGGCAAGGUGACAGCAGCAGAGGGAACCACUGGGCAAGUCCUCCCUCCCAGUGCUGAGUAUGCCUCUCACUGGGCAGGACACCGAGGAGCCACCAUCUGCAGGUGAGUUCCUUCCUCCGACGCUUCUUCCCACCCCCUCCCCACCAGCCAAGCUAUGCUGGAGGCAUGAGGGUCUGUGAUGGUUGUA
rnacentral:lncRNA from 1 species